GGACUACAGGGGUAUCUAAUCCCGUUCGCUCCCCAUGCUUUCGUGGCUGAGCGUCAGGUACGAGCCAGGGGGCCGCCUUCGCCUCUGGGGUUCCUCCGGAUCUCUACGCAUUUCACCACUACACCCGGAAUUCCACCCCCCUCUCUCGUCCUCUAGAAUUGCAGUCUGGCAUAACCCCUCCCGGUUAAGCCGGGAGAUUUCAUACACCACUUGCAAUCCCGCCUGCACACCCUUUACGCCCAGUAAAUCCGGAUAACGCUUGCCACCUACGUUUUACCGCGGCGGCUGGCAC
rnacentral:rRNA from 1 species